rnacentral:rRNA from 1 species
UCAAGCUACGAAGGGCAUAUGGUGGAUGCCUUGGCGCCAUGAGCCGAAGAAGGACGCGAUAAGCUGCGAUAAGCCGCGGGGAACUGCACAUAAGUAUGGAUCCGCGGAUUUCCGAAUGGGGAAACCCGGCAGCCGUAAUGGGCUGUCACCCGAAAGGGGGGGAACCCGGUGAACUGAAACAUCUAAGUAGCCGGAGGAAGAGAAAUCAAACGAGAUGCCCACAGUAGCGGCGAGCGAAGAGGGCAGAGCCCAAACCGCAGGCCUUCGGGCCUGCGGGGUUGCGGACCGGCGGAAACCGACGAGUUGCCAGUAGAAUUACCUGGAAAGGUAAGCGAGAGAGGGUAAGAGCCCCGUAUACGAAGGCGACGAGGAGGCGGCCGGGAUCCAGAGUACCACGGAGCACGAGGAAUUCUGUGGGAAACCGGGGGGACCACCCUCCAAGGCUAAACACUCCAUGGCGACCGAUAGCGCAUAGUACCAUGAGGGAAAGGUGAAAAGAACCCCGGGAGGGGAGUGAAAGAGAACCUGAAACCGUAUGUCUACAAGCAGUCGGAGCGGAAGCGACGGCGUGCCUAUUGAAGAAUGAGCCAACGAGUUGCGUGUGCUGGCGAGGUUAAGCAGAAGAUGCGGAGCCGAAGGGAAACCGAGUCUGAAGAGGGCGGGAAGUCAGUAUACGCAGACCCGAAACUGCAGUGAUCUACGCAUGGCCAGAUUGAAACGCAGGUAAAAUUGCGCGGAGGAUCGAACCGGGACAUGUUGAAAAAUGUUCGGAUGAGCUGUGCGUAGGGGUGAAAUUCCAAUCGAACGCAGAGAUAGCUGGUUCUCCUCGAAAUAGCUUUAGGGCUAGCCUCAGGCAGUAAGCGCAGGCGGUAGAGCACUGAUCGGGAUAGGGACUGUAACGGUUACCGAACCCUGUCAAACUCCGAAUGGCAGCGCUGCAGAGCCUGGGAGUCAGACUACGAGUGAUAAGAUCCGUGGUCAAAAGGGAAACAGCCCAGACCAUCAGCUAAGGUCCCCAAUGCCGUACUAAGUGGAAAAGGAUGUGGGGUUUCACAAACAACCAGGAUGUUGGCUCAGAAGCAGCCACCAUUUAAAGAGUGCGUAAUAGCUCACUGGUCGAGAGACCCUGCGCCGAAGAUUCCCGGGGCUGAAGUACGGAACCGAAGCUAUGGAUGCAGCCGCAAGGCUGCGUGGUAGAGGAGCGUUCCCGUCGGGCAGAAGCCGUCCUGUAAGGGGCGGUGGACGGACGGGAAGUGAGAAUGUUGGCAUGAGUAGCGAAAAGAACGGUGAGAAUCCGUUCCACCGAAAACACAAGGAUUCCUGAGCAACGAUCGUCGUCUCAGGGUAAGUCGGGACCUAAUCCGAGGCAUGGAGCGUAGGAGAUGGACAUCCGGUUGAAAUUCCGGAACCGGCAGGAAUCGUCAAGAGCAACGGAGUGACACAGGAAGGCAGGCGCGCAUGAGAUUGGAAGUUCAUGUGCAAGCGUGCGACGCGCGGGACAGGCAAACCCGUCCCGCAGGAGCGCGAGGCGUGACGCGGAGGGGACCGCAAGGGACCCGAAGGCGCCGGACCUACACUGUCGAGAAAAGCUUCUAGCAAGAGACCUGCCGCCCGUACCGUAAACCGACACAGGUGUGUGGGGAGAGGAUCCUAAGGUGCGCGGGAGAACCCUCGUUAAGGAACUCGGCAAAAUGUACCCGUAACUUCGGGAUAAGGGUAGCCGUCUGGCGUGAAGGGACAAGCUCCCGGAGCGUUGGAAGGCCGCAGAGAAGAGGCCCAAGCGACUGUUUACCAAAAACUUAGGUGCCUGCCAAAGCGAAAGCUGACGUAUAGGUGCUGACACCUGCCCAGUGCCGGAAGGUUAAGGAAGGAGGUCCGGGUUCGACCCAAAGCCUUCGACCGAAGCCCCGGUGAACGGCGGCCGUAACUAUAACGGUCCUAAGGUAGCGAAAUUCCUUGUCGGGUAAGUUCCGACCCGCACGAAAGGUGUAACGAUUUGGGCGCUGUCUCAACGAGGGACCCGGUGAAAUUGAAAUACCUGUGAAGAUGCAGGUUACCCGCGACUGGACAGAAAGACCCCAUGGAGCUUUACUGUAACCUGACAUUGGGUUCUGAUACUGCAUGCACAGGAUAGGUGGGAGGCACGGAAGCCCCUCCUUCGGGGAGGGCAGAGCCGCCGUUGGGAUACCACCCUUGCGAUAUCGGAAUUCUAACCGCAGCGGUAACGACGCUCGGGACAGUGUCAGGCGGGCAGUUUGACUGGGGCGGUCGCCUCCCAAAGUGUAACGGAGGCGCCCAAAGGUUCCCUCAGCGCGGCCGGAAAUCGCGCGCAGAGUGCAAAGGCAGAAGGGAGCUUGACUGCGAGUCGGACAGGACGAGCAGGGACGAAAGUCGGGCUUAGUGAUCCGGUGGCAUCCAAGUGGAAGGGCCAUCGCUCAACGGAUAAAAGCUACCCUGGGGAUAACAGGCUGAUCUCUCCCAAGAGUUCAUAUCGACGGGGAGGUUUGGCACCUCGAUGUCGGCUCAUCACAUCCUGGGGCUGAAGUCGGUCCCAAGGGUUGGGCUGUUCGCCCAUUAAAGUGGUACGCGAGCUGGGUUCAGAACGUCGUGAGACAGUUCGGUCCCUAUCCAUCGCGGGCGCAAGAGAUUUGAAGGGGGCUGCUCCUAGUACGAGAGGACCGGAGUGGACGAAUCCAUGGUGUACCAAUUAUGCCGCCAGGCGUAUCGUUGGGUAGCCACAUUCGGGAAGGAUAAACGCUGAAAGCAUCUAAGCGUGAAACCUGCCCUAAGAUGAGAUCUCUCACAGCAUAAGCUGGUAAGACCCCUUGAAGAUGACAAGGUUGAUAGGUCGGGAGUGUAAGUGCAGCAAUGCAUUGAGCGGACCGAUACUAAUAGGUCGAGGGCUUGAUUUA